rnacentral:lncRNA from 1 species
GGGAAUCAUCUCCUAGGCAAAAACUUGUUUGGAAGGAAGCAUAACGUGGAAGAUUCCUGGAGUUCUGUGAGGAAGUCUGCUUCCCCUCAAUUUUGUGUAUUUUCCCAAAGGAUCAGGAUUAUCCAGGCUAUAGAAUAAGGUAUGUAGUUAUCUUUAAAGCAGGAAAAUAAGUGUUGCCCUUUAGACAUGUCACACAACCAGAUUUUUGGAAAUCUGGCCUGAGCCCAGAGCCUCAGGAUACUACAGAUGUCAUUUACAGUGCACCAGAAAGAACUAAUCUGGCAGCUGAGACAGUUAAGAGAUGCCCAAAUUAGAGCCACUCUGUAGAUAACUGCUAGCCAAGAAAAGAUGGAAAGCUGGGGCCUACUUUAGAAGUGGAUUGGGGUGUACAGGCCUGUACACUUAAACUGAACAUUGUUCCAAGGUGAUGGUAGUCAUGUUGGAAUGCCUGUCCCAUCCAUGCUUUGAAGCUUAGCAACUGGCUUAGAAGAGGUCAUAAUGACUCACAGGCUUUGCGAUAUUACAUGGAGCAGUGCUGCAUAAGUAUCUCCCA